UUGUCAUUUUAAAGAACAAUAAAUUUUUCAAAUUAAUCCUACACAAAUAGUACAAAGCAAGCCUUUUUUAAAAUUAAUAUAGAUGUAAAAUUUAAAAGUAAAUAUAUUUUAGAAAUUAAAAAAUCUUAUCUUCCGGUUUUUUAUGUUAUGCCUACUAAUUUUAUGCCUUGAUAAACUUUGUUUUGAUUAAUAUUGAUUAUUUUCACAUUAAACUUUUCCAUUUUUGAAUAAUAACUUUCAUAAAGUACAAUCAGCAAUAUCAAAUUGAACAUGUCUAAAAUAUUCCAAAACAGAUAUGAUUUUACAGACCUGAAGAAAACUAAGAGACUGACCAAUUAUGUGUGAUGUUGACCACAAUGUUUAAUUUCUUGUGAGGCAUAUAGGUGUCACAAUGGAAAUAUUGAGAAUAAUAUAAAAACUGACUCUAGUAGUUUUUGGUCCUUGGAUCCUGUGGUGUAAAUAAUAAAAUUUCAUCAUGGUUUUCUUAUGGGGUUGUAAACAUUAGAUCAAAUAGUUUUAAUAGUACAUUGAAAUUGAUCAGGUUCUCAAAAGCAUUAAAUAAUGAAAACCAAAAAAAGUCAUGGGUGUGCAAGGUCUCUUUAUGUGCCUCUCACACUCUUUAAUUUGCCUGUUAAACAAAGUAAAUUUCCAGAUAACUUAAAGCAUGCAGUUAUAACACCUAUAUGUAAAUCUGGUAUUGCUAGUAAUCUUGAGAACUAUAAGUCUAUAUCUGUCAUCAAUUCACUUGCUAAAAUAUUAAAAGACAUGCUUUAUAACAAUAUUUUAAAUUAUUUUAGAGAUACAUUAAUGGACAAAAGUAUAUAGGCAAAGAAUUAUAACACAAUGCUUCAUCCAAUAUACCCUUAUUUAAGCUGAAAUAUAAAGGAAUAAUUCCUCGGUACCUAAUUGUUAUUAAAUACAAAUACAUAUAUAAAUUACUCAUAUAUGUAAAGCACUACAAAAAAAAAUUAAAUGUUAAGGGACAAAGAUAUAUAGACAAAUGUAAAAAAAUAUAAAAAAAUUAAGAAAUUAGCUGAACUUCUGCAAAUAAAUAUGUUUUUGUAAAAUAACAGACUUAAUACUUUGUCGCAUAACCAUUGUUUUUAAUAACUGUCUGGAAUCUUCGUGGCAUGGACGGGGAUUUGUUUCUAUUUUUCUUCCAAAGCCGUGAAAAGCUCAUUUUUAUUGGAAUACUUUUUAUCUCUAAUUUUUCUGUCCAAGUGUUCCCACAUGUUCUCAGUAGGAUUGAGUUCAGGGGACUGUGAAGGCCAUUUCAACAGAACCAUUUGUUCAUCCCUAAUAAAUCCCUUAGCUAUCUCAGAGGUGUGUUUCAGGUCAUUAUUUUGUUGAAACAGUGAUCUCACUGGCAUGUGGUCCUCCAUAUAGGGUAGCAUUAUGUUUUUAAGGAUAUUGACAUAAAAAAAUCUAUCUAUAAUACCUUCAAUUUUAUGUUUAAGACCUACUUCAAACCUUCAAAAAACACCCCCUAAUCAUCACAGAUCUGCCGCCAUGUUUUUAUUUUGUUUAUUUAUUUAGAAAAUGUACAGGGUGUCCCAUUAAGAAUGUUCCUCGGCUGUAUCUCAGGCCCCAAUUAUCGUAGAGCGUUGAAAAAAAAAUUAGUAUAAAAGUGGCCCAAAAAAAAUAGCUGGAAAAUAUUUUGAAGUUCAUUGGUCAAUCGCUAGAGGGCGUUCUAGCUACUUAAAAACUUUAAAGUCUAUUUUUUCCAAAAAACCUUUAAUAACUUGCAUCCCAAAAUAUUAUCGAAAUAAUCUACAAAGUAUUCCUGACAAAAAUGUUUUGACAACCAUUUCUGUCAAAUGUCAAAUAAAGUGGUGGGGAGAGUUUCUAUCUUAAAUGAGAAAAAUGGUAAGAAGUAGGCUUUGGCUGCACCGAUUUUUUUAAAACAACUUUUAUUUAAAAGCUCUUUUAUUGCUUUAUUUUUCUACCAAAAAGAUAUUAUUGGAAAAUGUUCCUAAAACCCGCGAGGGGGCGUCUACUUCUAACUUACGCUAUUCGACUGAUUAUUUUAAGAAACUCAAAUGCAACCAUGUGUGUUUUUUUACGGUAUUAGGAGGGGAGAACAAAGCUUAAUAAUUUAGUAAAAACCGCAUUUUGAUAUCACGUCUCUAACUAAAGUUACACAAAAAAAAAUUUGUUCAUUAGAAAGUGAAAACAUCAAAUAUGGUCGUUAAAAAAACUGGUGUCUAAAUGAAUCUUUGUGUAGAGAAACAAUCUUGGUAUACCAGCUUUUUAGAAAUUCCGGAAGGUGGCGUUUAUUUAUACACUUCUUUAUAAAGGAGUUUCAGCGGGAAUAAAUCUAUUCAGUAUGGGAAAACUAUGCAUAGGAACGUUUAAAAUUUCUGGACAACGUAGCAACAAAUAAUACCACAUGAUGUGCUAAAAUAAGUUAAAAGAAUAAUAUUGAAAAAAAUACAGCAACAUAUUAGUUGUGUUCAUAAAGGAACUAAAAAUUGAAGUUUAUAUAAGACUGUCGGUUAGCAGUUUAUUCGAGUAUAAACAAAUAGGUAAUUAAAUUAUGCCAAUUUUAAUAAUAAGUUGGCUUUGAAUUUGUUUAAAAAACAAAAAGGCCGGUGACAACUCUGUGACAGCUGCUUAAAAGUUUUCGGUGGUCCUAUAAAUUUAGUUAUUCAUUUCGAUCAGAGUUUAUUCUUUGACUUUAAUUUAAAAUGCGUCUGUCUUUGCAAGAGUCGGUAAAUGUUAUCAAAAUUUUUUAUGAAUGUUUUGAAAAUGCUGAAUGCUUGAAAAUACUAUAAUGAAUGCUUGAAAAUACUAUAGCUGCAAGGCUGUAUGCUCAACGUUUUCCUCAAAACCGGCGUCUGAAUAGAGGCAUAUUUCUUCGUUUGGCCCGUCGUUUUCGGACAACAGGUAGUGUAGUCUAUCCAACCUACCGUAGGUAAGGUCGCAGGAGAACGGAGGAAAACAAUAAAUUGUUUGGCCUAUGUAGAAUUUGAAUCGCACUUAGGCAUCAGAACUAUUUCAGGCGAUUUAGGCAUACCUCGUUCUGUAAUUCACAGAAUUUUGCAGGAACACAGGUAUAACACAAUUUUUCAAAAAUAACUGCCUAGAUACUUACUUAAUUUAAUUUUUUUUGCAUAUAGAUUUCAUCCAUUCCAUAUAGUACUCCACCAGGCAUUAAAUCUAGAAGACUAUGACAGAAGACUAGAUUAUUGUCAUUGGUGGAGAAUAUGUUGCUCGAAAAUCCAAGUUUUCUCAACGAAAUUUUAUGGACAGACGAAGCAACGUUCAAUAGUGACGGAGUAGUUAACAGACAUAAUAUGCACUAUUAGUCUGAAACUAACCCUCGUUGGAUGCGCGAGAUCCAGCAUCAGGGAAGGUGGAGUGUUAAUGUCUGGUGCGGUGUAAUACGAUCUCAGGUUAUAGGUCCAUUUUUAUUUGAUGAGAGCCUAACUAGAGAACGAUAUCUUGGAUUUUUAAGAAAUGAGCUCCCAGCAUUAUUAGAAGAGGUGCCUCUGGUUAUAAGAGCCAACAUGUUUUUACAACAUGACGGAUGCCCAGCUCAUUUCGCGGUACAAGUGCGAACGUUCCUUAAUCAGCGGUACCCUGAUCGGUGGAUUGGCAGCUGUAGCUUUUUGGCCGACAAGAUCGCCACAUUUAACCUGCCUUGACUUAUUUAUGGGGUAGAAUAAAUGCCAUUGUAUUUUCUUCGACUUCCUGUAUAAAGAAGUGUAUAAAUAAACGCAACCUUCCGGAAUUUCUAAAAAGCUUGAUUCUAAGCUAAAAAGAUUGUUUCUCUACACAAAGAUUCAUUUAAACACCAGUUUUUGUAACCGGGCUGCUAAAUAGAACUUAACGACCAUAUUUGAUGUUUUUACUUUCUAAUGAACAAAUUUUUUUUGUAUCUUUAGUUAGAGACGUGAUAUCAAAAUGCGGUUUUCACUAAAUUAUUAAGCUUUGUUCUCCGCUCUUAAUACCGUAAAAAAACACACAUGGUUGCAUUUAAGUUUCUUAAAAUAAUCAGUCGAAUAGCGUAAAUUAGAAGUAGACGCCCCCUAGCGGGUUUUAGGAAAAUUUGCCAAUAAUAUCUUUUUGGUAGAAAAAUAAAGCAAUAAAAGAGCUUUUAAAUAAAAGUUGUUUUAAAAAAAUAGGUGCAGCCAAAGCCUACUUCUUACCAUUUUUCUCAUUUAAGAUAGAAACUCUCCCCACCACUUUAUUUGACAUUUGACAGAAAUGGUUGUCAAAACAUUUUUGUCAGGAAUACUUUGUAGAUUAUUUCGAUAAUAUUUUGGGAUGCAAGUUAUUAAAGGUUUUUUGGAAAAAAUAGACUAUAAAGAUUUUAAGUAGCUAGAACGCCCUCUAGCGAUUGACCAAUGAACUUCAAAAUAUUUUCCAGCUAUUUUUUUUGGGCCACUUUUAUACUAAUUUUUUUUCAACACUCUACGAUUAUUGGGGCCUAAGAUACAGCCGAGGAACAUUCUUAAUGGGGCACCCUGUACAGUACAAACAUGUGUUUAAUCCUAUCUCUAGAUCUGAGUUUCACAAAUUUGUUUUAUGCACCUAGGUAUUUACCUGUAUGUGCAGAAGUUUAUUAUAAUUCAUUUCUAAUAUUAAAUUAUGACACAAGUGAAAUAAUGUAUUCCUGUAGCCUUAACUUAUUAACAAUAUUGAUUAUUAAUAACAAAAUUUAUAUUCAAUGAUCAUUGAGACAGUUUUACAUGAACAAUCCCCAAAAAAUACCCAUUUGACCUUAAACAAUCUGACAAUACAUCACAAUAAAUUACAAAAAUUUUAACAGAUUAUUCAUUUUUUUUUUGAAAUAAAUAUUUUGACAUGUUUCAAUAUAUUGAUAAUAAUUUUUUAGUUUUCUUAUAACUAUUAGGUAGCAAAUUAUACAGGGUGUUUCAAAAUUCACUACUUAUAUUUUAAGGGCAUAUUUCUGACGUCAAAAUAAGACUGUUUUUUCCUAUAAACAUGGGUCCUAAAAUGCACCCCCUUCAAGCUACAGCCAUCGCAAGAAGUGUAAAAAAAUCGAUUUUUUAAAACUGUGUCUACAGUUUUGCAUCAAAUUUAACGAAAUUUAGAAUACGCCCGUUAUUUUAGGCGGUCUAUUUACUCUUUAUCUUAGAAAAGGCGUAAAACUAAUUUUAAGGAGUAAACUGAGGGGGUGCACACUUUUGACGGGCAAAAUUUUAUGUGUACAUACAUUUUUUUAAAAAUUAAGCUACACCAAAAAAUAGACCAUACAAAAAUUUUAAUUUUUGGUUUUGCAUUUUUUUCAUACGACUAUUAGUUUUUGAGAAAAUCGCCGGUGAAUAAAAGGAUAGCAAUAUCGUAAAUUAAAAAUCAAAGAAAAAAUUUAGGAAGUCGGCUGUGUUUCGCAAUUGUUGACAUUUUUAUUUUUGAGGUUUUAGUAGUAGGCUGUGAGUAUUUGUUUUAGACAUUUUUUAACUUGCUUGACAUUUGGUGUAAAAUAAAUUUACUGUCAUUGU